UCCUCGCCUGACACAAGUCUUACUGACAGCUUUAAACCUAUGAUUCACAGAAAAUAAUCCGAGGGAAGCGUGGGGCACUUGCUUAUGUAAUUCUCCGAAAAACAGGCUCACUCGGUCUUUCAAGCCGAGUACGCUUCUGUUUCUCGCUGGGAGGCGGGCCUGUCUUCCCUUCUGCCCCUAGGGGGCGCCGCGGAGCCGGCGCGGGCUGGUGGCCGGCGGCCUGUCCCCCGCGAGUCAGAGGGGCGGCAAACCCAACGCGAGGUCCAACUGCAAAGCCGUGCUCCCGGCGGGCCGGGGGCCUGCUCCGCCCAGCCUCCCUUCUGGGUUUCACUUCACUCGUCCAGUCCCCGCAGAGGCUCUGCUUAAGGCACCCUUGUCAGUUCCUAGUUCUUGCGGCGGCUAAUACUUGAAUACGUUACAGCCAGUUUUCCCGUCCUGGAAAUUAAUCUCUUCUGUUUCUUUCCCUCCCUCCCUCUCUCUCCUCCUCCUUCCUUCUCACUAUUCCUGGGAUUAUUUCUUUUGGAAAUAAUUCCCUGUGCACUCUGCCUCCAUAAAUCUCUUGAAUCCUGGCACAUGGAACAAGCCUGUAUUACAAGGGAACAGAAUCAACAGGCAACUGGGAGGCAAACUUCUACCCUCUGCAGUUUCGCCCCAGUAGGAGGACCAGAAUACAUUCUGCAGCUGCAUCGCUGCAGAGAAAGGUCAGGAGGCCUGUCAGAGGAGAUGCCAUUUCAGCCUGGAUGGAGAGAAGGGAGACGUGAGCCAUGCAGAUAAAUGAUGGAAGAGUGUUCUCUGCCAGAAGAAAGGACCAGUAAAGGCUCUGAAAUGGGAGAGCUGGAAACCAGUAAAUCGACAGCAUCUCGUACACGUGGAGUCACAGAGUUCCUGUCGGCACCUGAAGCUCACUGGAAUGGUACAAGCCCAUUUUUAGCCACCGAAAAUUAAACUAGAUCUGUGGGCAGGCCGCUCUAGAACAGUGGUUCUCAACCAGAGGCCAUCCAAACCCGCCCACCCUGCCCUUCGUGGGGGCGUGUGGCCGUUACAGGAGACGGGGGGCUGUCAUGACUGUGGAGGCAGUGCUGCC